rnacentral:pre_miRNA from 1 species
GGGAGGAGGAGGUUGCAGUGAGCUGAGAUCAUGCCACUGCACUCCAGCCUGGGCAACAGGAGCGAAACUCCAUCUCAAAAAUAAAUAAAUAAAUAAAUUUUAUUUCGUUCUUUUUUUUUUUUUUGAGACAGAGUUUCGCUCCUGCUGCCCAGGCUGGAGUACAAUGGCGCCAUCUCGGCUCACUGCAACCUCCGCCUCCC